CCGGUACAACGAGCGAUAGCUUGAUUUUCAAGAGGAAAGUCCGGGCUGCCGUAAGACAGGGCUCCAUCUAACGGAUGGCCGGCGCAAGCCGAGGGACAGUGCAACAGAGAGCAGACCGCCGCGCAAGCGGUAAGGGUGAAAUGGUGGGGUAAGAGCCUACCAGUUCCGCCAGCAAUGGCGGAAGCUAUGUAAACCCAGCCUGGCAGCAAGAAACAGAUGGUAAGCGUCUUACAAUGCUUUUGUUUCGCUGGAGGCAUCCGGUAACGGAUGCAGUAGAUAAAUUAUCGCAUUAACAGAACCCGGCUUACCGUUGUACCUUUCUU
rnacentral:RNase_P_RNA from 1 species